rnacentral:lncRNA from 1 species
UAUUUAGUUUUGUGACCCUAAUUUUCCUGUAAUGAAGGUCGCCGGAGAUACCUAUGAGGUCAUUUUCCCAAAGAUGUCAUGUACAAUGUUACUCACUCAGGGGAGCGAUGAUGAGCUCUCCGAUGGACCUAAGCUAUCUGGUAGGUAGGUGAUGUUCCUACCCUUUAAGUUAAUCAUCAAUUGGUUUCUAUUAUGUGCUAUUUUGGUUUAUCUAGUCAGUUUAUC